rnacentral:rRNA from 1 species
GUACACUCCUGCGGGAGGCAGCAGUGGGGAAUUUUGGACAAUGGGCGAAAGCCUGAUCCAGCCAUGCCGCGUGCAGGAUGAAGGCCUUCGGGUUGUAAACUGCUUUUGUACGGAACGAAACGGCCUUUUCUAAUAAAGAGGGCUAAUGACGGUACCGUAAGAAUAAGCACCGGCUAACUACGUGCCAGCAGCCGCGGUAAUACGUAGGGUGCAAGCGUUAAUCGGAAUUACUGGGCGUAAAGCGUGCGCAGGCGGUUAUGUAAGACAGUUGUGAAAUCCCCGGGCUCAACCUGGGAACUGCAUCUGUGACUGCAUAGCUAGAGUACGGUAGAGGGGGAUGGAAUUCCGCGUGUAGCAGUGAAAUGCGUAGAUAUGCGGAGGAACACCGAUGGCGAAGGCAAUCCCCUGGACCUGUACUGACGCUCAUGCACGAAAGCGUGGGGAGCAAACAGGAUUAGAUACCCCGGUAGUCCCAUGAU